rnacentral:rRNA from 1 species
AGCGAACGCUGGCGGCAGGCCUAACACAUGCAAGUCGAGCGCCGUAGCAAUACGGAGCGGCAGACGGGAGAGUAACACGUGGGAACGUGCCCUUUGGUUCGGAACAACCCAGGGAAACUUGGGCUAAUACCGGAUGAGCCCUUACGGGGAAAGAUUUAUCGCCGAAGGAUCGGCCCGCGUCUGAUUAGCUAGUUGGUGGGGUAAUGGCCCACCAAGGCGACGAUCAGUAGCUGGUCUGAGAGGAUGAUCAGCCUCACUGGGACUGAGACACGGCCCAGACGCCUACGGGAGGCAGCUGUGGGGAAUAUGGGACAAUGGGCUCAAGCCUGAUCCAGCCAUGCCGCGUGGGUGAUGUAGGCCCUAGGGUUGUAAAGCCCUUUCGGCGGGGAAGAUAAUGACGGUACCCGCAGAAGAAGCCCCGGCUAACUUCGUGCCAGCAGCCGCGGUAACAC